rnacentral:misc_RNA from 1 species
AGUUAAAUAGUACGUGAAAUUGUUGAAAGGGAAACGAUUGAAGUCAGUCAUGCUAGUGAAAAAUCAGUUUGACGGGUUUUGAGUUCUUGAGUAGAGGCAGGGUCAAACCGUUUCUCUUUUGGACUUGAGAUGUGUUAGAUGUACUUUUUCUUUGGCAGGUCAACGUCGGUUUCGGGGGUUGUAAAAUACUUGGGGGAAAGUAGCUCUGCUUCGGGAGAGUGUUAUAGACCCUGGGAGAUGCAGCCUGUGGGAUCGAGGAUUGCAGCAAAUGCCUUUUGGCUUGUCGCCUGUUCCUGGGUGUUACCUGUCUUGUGACAACAUUCUUGCCACCGGGGAGUACUAAUGCCUACUGUUUAGAGCGAUCGAAAAUUUUGCUAAGGAUGUUGACGUAAUGGCUUUAAA